rnacentral:lncRNA from 1 species
UGCAGCUACAAGGUUAUUACACAGUGGGUGCAUUUACAUGUUCAUGAAUGCGUCUUAGAUAGUGUGCAUUUAGUUUAGUACGUCCUUAAGGAGUAACUAAACAUGCUGGACUGAGAGUUACCGUGCAGUAGCACCAGCGCACGGUUAUUUAGUGACGCUUCCUUUGCAUUAGCCUCAUAACACUGCGCAGUAGACUAUGGUUUGUGCUGUGACAUACUGCUGCGCAGUGUUAUUAGGCUAAAAUGCAGUAAGCGUCUUGUGUAGACACACCCAGUGAUAAACCCGGGGGUGAGCAGGGUUCGGCACAGUCCCACGGCUGAGCGAUGCUAUCUCGGGCCUGUGCUUGCGCGAUCCAUGCUGGUAACGAGUUUCAGCCUCCUUGGCCUGAUUCUUCCUUCUUUCACGCUGGUGCAAAUCAAAACCAGCUCCACAGAAGGCAGCAGCGGAAGUUUGUUAGUAUAAAAAUGACAAAAGCAGAACGGAGUCAGGGCCCUGUUACCUUUGCAUGCUAACAACCUGUCUUUACUAACUGGGUAUUAAGUCUACCACGGCAGCACCUAGCAAGCCCUAAUGAGGAGCAGCGCACUGCAUUAGCCGCCGAAGAUGAAUUAAUAUUGAAAAAACCGCAGUUCUUGUCCCCGAGACCUCAAAAGCAAGGUGUCUGACAGUGCUUAGGGGAAGGGAAAAAAAGGGCCACUUAAAUCUAAAGCCUUGCCUGCCUGCAUAUAUCCCUUUAAAAAUAAGAACAGCAUGCCUGAGCACGUUCUUAGCCCGCCUUUGCCCCAGUUUGAUCAUCAACUCUACAGGACUCUCCCCCACCCCAACAAGCCAGUGGGGUUUUGCCCUCUUUUUCAGAGAUCUGUUGGCACAGGAAGCCCCCAAGGCCUGGAAACCCUUCUGUUCCCAUCUCUCCCAGAUCCGCAUUUGCAACCAUCAGCAGCCAGAAGGGGGGUUGGUUUUAAUUUGAUCACAACACAGACACACAAGGAAAAAACACACACACAGAUCCGAGAACAAGAGCAAUUGUGAGUGUCUGGCCUUUUUUUUUUUCAUAUAUAAAUUAUAGAUAUAUAGAGAGAGAGAGAUAUCUCUAUGGUGGUGGCUGGAGGGUUGGGGUUAGUUUGUUCUGGUGCUUGGUGGGGGUUGGUGGGAUGAGAGAGCCGAGAUCUCUCUCUCUCUUUCUCUCUCUUUUCUCUUAUUUUGUUUUGCAAAAAAUAUAAUUCAGCUGGAAAUUGCAGAAGGAUCCUAGAGAAGGGGCUGGGGGGUGAUGCCUGGGUUGCUGGGGCUCUGCACAGAGAAGUAAGCAAGGCAUGCGGAAUAAUGUGUCCUUCUGGGCUUAU